rnacentral:rRNA from 1 species
UACGUAGGUGGCGAGCGUUGUCCGGAUUUACUGGGCGUAAAGGGAGCGUAGGCGGACUUUUAAGUGAGAUGUGAAAUACUCGGGCUCAGCUUGAGUGCUGCAUUUCAAACUGGAAGUCUAGAGUGCAGGAGAGGAGAAUGGAAUUCCUAGUGUAGCGGUGAAAUGCGUAGAGAUUAGGAAGAACACCAGUGGCGAAGGCGGUUCUCUGGACUGUAACUGACGCUGAGGCUCGAAAGCGUGGGGAGCAAACAGG